rnacentral:lncRNA from 1 species
GUAUACUAAUUUAUGCUGUGCACGGAUAGAUAAUUAGAGAAAAAAAUAGGACAAAAAAAAGGAAAAUAACGAUGAAAAAAUAGGCGAUAAAGGAUGAAAUUUAUUUUGUUGACGAAUGUAGAUAAUACUUAAAAAAAGCGGAAGAGAAAUUGUUCGGCCUAAUAUAAAGGUGUAAUCCGAUUCGGUUCAAAAAAAAGAGAAAAAUUCUGUUUGGUUCAAGUAAAGAAAGUAGAAAAUAUAUAGAAAAUUUAAGUUGGUGUAGAAGAACCGAUAUUCAAUAAAAAGCGGUUAAAUUCAAGUAAAGAAAAGAAAGAUUCGAUUCAAUUUAAGUUAAAAAGGAGAAAAAUAUAUAGAAAACUUAAAGCCGGUUGAGGAUUAAAGCUCGUACCUAAUAAUGAAGAGAAAAUUAUUAUAUGAUAAAUUUUAAAAAAUAAUAUAUUGAAAUAAAAAAUAUAGAUAUAAUAAAUAUAAAUAUAAAUAUAAAUAUAAAAAAA